rnacentral:rRNA from 1 species
UACGGAGGAUCCAAGCGUUAUCCGGAUUCAUUGGGUUUAAAGGGUGCGUAGGCGGAAUAAUAAGUUAGUGGUGAAAGCCUGUGGCUCAACCAUAGAACUGCCAUUAAUACUGUUAUUCUUGAGUACAUUUGAAGUGGGCGGAAUACGACAUGUAGCGGUGAAAUGCAUAGAUAUGUCGUAGAACACCGAUUGCGAAGGCAGCUCACUAAACUGUAACUGACGCUGAGGGACGAAAGCGUGGGGAGCGAACAGG